rnacentral:lncRNA from 1 species
UAAAAAACAAAAACAAAAUCCCAGCCUGCACACCGCUCCCUUGCCCACUGCCCAGGUCACACCUGGGGCUCCGGCGAAGCUGAAUUCGGCUCGGGAGAUUUCCCUGUCGCCAGGUAAGAAAACCUUCGCCUGGUCAGGCUAGGGCGGGAAGACCGCUGGGGAACUUGUUGCUUAUCAGCGACAGCAGGCUACCGCUUUAAUAAUAAUACCAGGAAAGCGCAGCAGGGAGGGGGUGGGGGGCGGCAACGGCGACGACUAACUGCACUGUUUACGUGACCGACUCACUGUGACUCCCUGGGUAAAAAAAAAAAAAAAAAAAAAAGAAACUUCUUAGAAAAGUUCGUGCCCCUCCCCCCUCAUCAUGACUAAGGGUCUCCAGCCGAUGAGGUCGUGAGUGAUGAUCAAAUGGGGGCUGGGGGGUAGGGGGGCGAGUAAGUGACUUGUCCUUGGGAACAACUGCAUGCGUAGAAGCGCGCAUCAGCCCAACAACUUUCCCUUUUCCUCUUAGGGACUGAUGACUAGGCGAGAGACACCAAGGCGAGCCACUAGUUGCCCACAGGAACCUGUGUAAGCCGAGCUCUCAAGCGGCUGAGUUGAAUGAAGUUAUGACUGCGUUUGCUCUAAUGGGUUAUGGCUUCCCGAAUGUAAUAGGAGAAGAAAAGAAUCACGACGCACAACUUGGAAAGCCUUCUGAAAACAAGAAUGGGCAAUGAUUGCCAAGAACCUGAUGUUUAGCUCAUAUUUAAAAAGAACUCAAAGAAUCUUCAAUCUACCAAACCUAGUUUAGUUAUAAACAAUCAGAACUUCAAAAAGAAGCAAGCAGGAGAAAGCUUUGGGAAAGUCAUGAUUUAGUUUGCAAUAACCUCUGUGCGUUCCUGAUCCUGACAAGCAAGCAUGAGGCAGAAGAUCUGGACAUGACUUAACUCAAUUUCAGAAAACCAGACAACCUUAUAAUGAGGCUGAAGCAAGACCACACGGAAUACUGAGGAAGAACUGAAUGACUCUUUCUACACCAUCUUACAGACAAGAGAUGAAUAAGAGGAAGUAUGGGUAGCAAGUAAGAGAGAAGUGACGUUGUUAAUAUGAAAGCUUGACAGGAGAUUAAGAUGGGUCAAGAGCAUGUCAGGUCAGGACUUGCAAGAUGUACUUAAGUAAAUGUAAGUUCAUAUUAGGAAUUGGAAAAAAUGAGAAAUAAAAACACCAAG